rnacentral:lncRNA from 1 species
UUUAAAAAAGAGGAUGAUGAGAAUAAAUUGCACCAAUUCCUCAUGGGGCUUAAUGACACAUAUGUUAGUGUUAGGGGUAAUAUCCUUAUGCUGCAGCCUCCACCAUCCUUGGACAGUGCAUAUAAUAUACUCCUACAAGAUGAGAGGCAAAGACAAGUCACUCGUGCACCAGCCCAAUUUCAUAGUGACUCCAGUGCCUUUAGCACUCAUUUCAUGAAUAAACCUUAUGGAGCACAUUCACAUCCUAAGCAGUUCACUCAGAAAAUAAGUUUUGACACCACCAAAACAAAUCUAGUAUGUAGAUAAUUCAGGAUGAGAGGCAAAGACAAGUCGCUCGUGCACCAGCCCAAUUUCAUAGUGACUCCAGUUCCUUUAGCACUCAUUUCAUGAAUAAACCUUAUGGAGCACAAUCACAUCCUAAGCAGUUCACUUAGAAAAUCAGUUUUGACACCACCAAAACAAAUCUAGUGUGUAGAUAUUGCAAGAAACCUGGUCACUUGAUUGACAAAUGCUACAAGCUGCAUGGGUUUCCACCAGAUUUCAAGUUUACCAAGAACAAGAGAACUGCUGCCAAUGUUGAGGUGCAAGGGGGUGUAAAUUCUGCUGAUUCCUCAAGCAUGGGUGAUGGUAUUCAGGGGUGUUCUGAUUCAGAUUCUGUGAUUCCUAGGUUAACAAAGGAACAAUACUCACAGCUCAUG